UGGGGGAUAUUGCACAAUGGGCGAAAGCCUGAUGCAGCGACGCCGCGUGGGGGAUGAAGGCCUUCGGGUUGUAAACUUCUUUUGCUCUGAACAAGGCAUGCCUUUGGGGUGUGUUGAGUGUAGGGGUUGAUUAGCGCCGGCUAACUACGUGCCAGCAGCCGCGGUAAUACGUAGGGCGCGAGCGUUGUCCGGAAUUAUUGGGCGUAAAGGGCUUGUGGGUGGCUGGUUGCGUCUGUCGUGAAAGCUCAUGGCUUAACUGUGGGUUUGCGGUGGGUACGGGCUGGCUUGAGUGCAGUAGGGGAGGCUGGAAUUCCUGGUGUAGCGGUGGAAUGCGCAGAUAUCAGGAGGAAUACCGGUGGCGAAGGCGGGUCUCUGGGCUGUUACUGACGCUGAGGAGCGAAAGCGUGGGGAGCGAACAGG
rnacentral:rRNA from 1 species